UUUCAAAGAUUUAGCCCUGCAAGUUUAAGUAUAAGCAAUUAUACACGAAACUGCGAAUGGCUCAUUAUAUAAGUUAUCGUUUAUUUGAUAGUACCUUACUACUUGGAUAACCGUGGUAAUUCUAGAGCUAAUACAUGCUAAAAAUCCCGACUCCGGAAGGGAUGUAUUUAUUAGAUUAAAAACCAAUGCCCUCUGGGCUCCUUGGUGAUUCAUAAUAACUUUUCGAAUCGCAUGGCCUUGCGCCGGCAAUGGUUCAUUCAAAUUUUUUCCCUAUCAACCUUCGAUGUUUGGGUAUUGGCCAAACAUGGUCGCAACGGGUAAAGGAGGGUUAGGGCUUGACCCCGGAGAAGGAGCCUGAGAAACGGCUACUACAUCCAAGGAAGGCAGCAGGCGCGCAAAUUACCCAAUCCCGAUUUGGGGAGGUAGUGACAAUAAAUAAUGAUACAGGGCUUUUUUGGGUCUUGUAAUUGGAAUGAGUACAAUUUAAAUCCCUUAACGAGGAACAAUUGGAGGGCAAUCUG
rnacentral:rRNA from 1 species